rnacentral:rRNA from 1 species
AUACGGAGGAUCCGAGCGUUAUACGGAUUUAUUGGGCUUAAAGGGAGCGUAGGUGGAUUGUUAAGUCAGUUGUGAAAGUUUGCGGCUCAACCGUAAAAUUGCAGUUGAAACUGGCUGUCUUGAGUACAGUAGAGGUGGGCGGAAUUCGUGGUGUAGCGGUGAAAUGCUUAGAUAUCACUAAGAACUCCGAUUGCGAGGGCAGCUCACUAGACUGUUACUGUCACUGAUGCUCGAAAGUGUGUGUAUCAAACAGGAUUAGAUACCUUGGUAGCCCACACAGUAAACGAUGAAUACUGGCUGUUUGCGAUAUACAGUAAGCAGCCAAGCGAAAGCAUUAAGUAUUCCGCCUGGGGAGUACGCCGGCAAAGGUGAAACUCAAAUGAAUUGGCGGGG